AUCAAUAUGCUUUUCGGUAGAGCUUAUAUCUGCUGAAGAUUGGAACCUUUCGCAGCAUCAUUUCAUAUGCGGCUAAUAAAAACGCAUCAUCAAUGAUUCGGUAAUGGAUAUGAAAAGGUGACCGUAUUUUGACUAAUAUUUUGGUGUAUUUAUCGAAAAAGUGCGAUAUCGAAAGUAAUCAUGAGUAUUGUACUUACAACGUGGCGCUUUAAAAUUGUUUCAAAUUGCUUUGCAACUUUUAAAAAAUAAGAAAAAACAAAUAAAGCUCUAAAUAGAGGAAUUCUGAUGGAGGGCAUGAGCAAUUUUUUAUUGAAGUAAGAGACCCUCUAAACAUUUCUUGGGAAUCGAUGUAACGAUGCACCUGACUUUGUACAAAACAAUCGUUUCCAGAAUUACCAUUAAAUUUUCGUGUACACCAUUUUCCGUUGCAUCAUUGCAACCUACAUCAAACAAUUUCAUGCAUACAUGCACACGUAUGUAUGCAUAUACAUACAUAUGUACAUAUAGGCAUUUCCAGGAUCACUCACUAUCGUGGCAUCCUUAAACUGAAAAAACUAUGUCAUAAAAGCACAUUUUCCGUUACGCAUAGGGUAGAAGGCUAUAAGAACUUUCUGCCUACUGCAAAUGUAUGUAACCAGCAGAAGGAGCCAUCUCCGACCCUAUAACAGCAACAGCCGAGACGAUAUAGCCAUGUAAGUCUGUCAGAAUUUCAGAGACUAUAAGAGAUAGAGCUAUACUUUUUCGACAGCAUUUGUUAUGUUUGCACGCAGAUCAAGUUUGUUUUAGAUUUGUACCACGUCCACUUCCGCCCAGCAAAUAGACAAAAAUCUAAUAAUAAGCGUAAUUUUUAAGCUAGAGCAAUGAUUUUUAAACAUACAAUAAUAACUAUAGUAUUAGGGAUUUCUGAAAAUUUGUGAUAGAUAAAAAUUGUGGAAGUUAUUGAAGAAAUACUAUUGAAUGUUUUGGCUGACAAUCUGGUAUAUUUUGCACUCAAUGGUAUGUUUUGAAUGUAGUACUAUAUAAAUAAAUGUAUAUUUAUUAUUAUAAUGGUAUAUUGAUUUGGUAUAUUUUAAAAUGAAUACCGCAUUGUUUUGCUUUUAUUCUCAAUGGGUAACGGAUAUUUCACAGACGAGGACACUCGACUGUAGCUUUCUUACAUGUUUUACAUGAUAAAUGCAUUGUAUAAGAAUUUUUUCUAAAUAAAAGACAAGCCUUGUCGCUUUCGAGAUAUUAAGACAAAAAACGGAGCUCUUGAAAUCUUGAAUCGUGAAAAAUGUGAAAAUCAGUGAAAUCAUCAGUAAAUAAUUACUCUGACAAUACAUUUAAAUCAUAAUAAAAUAAUUCAGUCUUAUAUAUUAUUAUAUUAGUUCACCUUGUUAUAAAGUAUUGUUAUUGUUUUAUUUAUUUUAAAAUUUAUAUUUAUAUUUGUAAGGUGACAACCCAAACGUGCCCAAAUUUACAUAAGGCUUAUGAAAAAAAUGUACCGAUAGUCGAUGCUUGCCUUAUCUCUGUUUAAAUUUUGUUGAAGCUUGUUGGUAUAAAUAUUUUAAAAAUAAAAUUGCAAAGAUUUUGAUAAAAUAUUACGAAUAAA